rnacentral:rRNA from 1 species
CCUACGGGAGGCUGCAGUGGGGAAUAUUGGGCAAUGGGCGCAAGCCUGACCCAGCAACGCCGCGUGAAGGAAGAAGGCUUUCGGGUUGUAAACUUCUUUUCUCAGGGAACAAAGGCGGGGACGUGUCCCCGGAUGAGUGUACCUGAAGAAAAAGCAUCGGCUAACUCCGUGCCAGCAGCCGCGGUAAUACGGAGGAUGCGAGCGUUAUCCGGAUUUAUUGGGUUUAAAGGGUGCGCAGGCGGUCUGUUAAGUCAGCGGUAAAAGCCCGGGGCUCAACCCCGGCCCGCCGUUGAAACUGGCAGUCUCGAGUUGGAGAGAAGUAUGCGGAAUGCGCGGUGUAGCGGUGAAAUGCAUAGAUAUCGCGCAGAACUCCGAUUGCGAAGGCAGCAUGCCGGCUCCACACUGACGCUGAGGCACGAAAGCGUGGGUAUCGAACAGGAUUAGAUACCCCUGUAGUC